rnacentral:rRNA from 1 species
GACGAACGCUGGCGGCGUGCUUAACACAUGCAAGUCGAACGGUGAAGGGAUCAGCUUGCUGGUUCUGGAUGAGUGGCGAACGGGUGAGUAACACGUGAGUAACCUGCCCCCUUCUUCUGGAUAACCGCAUGAAAGUGUGGCUAAUACGGGAUAUUCUGCGCCUGCUGCAUGGUGGGUGUGGGAAAGAUAUUGUUUCGGCGGGGGAUGGGCUCGCGGCCUAUCAGCUUGUUGGUGGGGUGAUGGCCUACCAAGGCGGUGACGGGUAGCCGGCCUGAGAGGGGGGACGGUCACACUGGGACUGAGACACGGCCCAGACUCCUACGGGAGGCAGCAGUGGGGAAUAUUGCACAAUGGGCGCAAGCCUGAUGCAGCGACGCCGCGUGAGGGAUGGAGGCCUUCGGGUUGUGAACCUCUUUCGCCAGUGAAGCAGGCCUGUCCCUUGUGGGUGGGUUGACGGUAGCUGGAUAAGAAGCGCCGGCUAACUACGU